AUUGAACGCUGGCGGAAUGCUUUACACAUGCAAGUCGAGCGGCAGCGCGGGGCAACCUGGCGGCGAGCGGCGAACGGGUGAGUAAUACAUCGGAACGUACCCAGGUUGUGGGGGAUAGCCCGGCGAAAGCCGGAUUAAUACCGCAUACGACCUGAGGGUGAAAGGGGGGGAUCGCAAGACCUCUCGCAGUUGGAGCGGCCGAUGGCGGAUUAGCUAGUUGGUAGGGUAAAGGCCUACCAAGGCGACGAUCUGUAGCGGGUCUGAGAGGAUGAUCCGCCACACUGGGACUGAGACACGGCCCAGACUCCUACGGGAGGCAGCAGUGGGGAAUUUGGACAAUGGGCGCAAGCCUGAUCCAGCCAUGCCGCGUGCGGGACGAAGGCCUC
rnacentral:rRNA from 1 species